UGGGGAAUAUUGCACAAUGGGCGCAAGCCUGAUGCAGCCAUGCCGCGUGUGUGAAGAAGGCCUUCGGGUUGUAAAGCACUUUCAGCGGGGAGGAAGGCGUUAAGGUUAAUAACCUCGGCGAUUGACGUUACCCGCAGAAGAAGCACCGGCUAACUCCGUGCCAGCAGCCGCGGUAAUACGGAGGGUGCAAGCGUUAAUCGGAAUUACUGGGCGUAAAGCGCACGCAGGCGGUCUGUCAAGUCGGAUGUGAAAUCCCCGGGCUCAACCUGGGAACUGCAUUCGAAACUGGCAGGCUAGAGUCUUGUAGAGGGGGGUAGAAUUCCAGGUGUAGCGGUGAAAUGCGUAGAGAUCUGGAGGAAUACCGGUGGCGAAGGCGGCCCCCUGGACAAAGACUGACGCUCAGGUGCGAAAGCGUGGGGAGCAAACAGG
rnacentral:rRNA from 1 species